GAUGCCUACGGGACGCAGCAGUGGGGAAUAUUGCACAAUGGGGGAAACCCUGAUGCAGCAACGCCGCGUGAAGGAAGACGGUUUUCGGAUUGUAAACUUCUGUUCUUAGUGAAGAAAAAUGACGGUAGCUAAGGAGCAAGCCACGGCUAACUACGUGCCAGCAGCCGCGGUAAUACGUAGGUGGCAAGCGUUGUCCGGAAUUACUGGGUGUAAAUGGAGCGCAGGCGGGAAGCCCAGUCAGCUGUGAAAACUACGGGCUUCACUUGUAGACUGCAGUUUUAACU
rnacentral:rRNA from 1 species